AUGCAGUCGAACGGUAGCACAGAGGAGCUUGCUCCUUGGGUGACGAGUGGCGGACGGGUGAGUAAUGUCUGGGAAACUGCCCGAUGGAGGGGGAUAACUACUGGAAACGGUAGCUAAUACCGCAUAACGUCGCAAGACCAAAGAGGGGGACCUUCGGGCCUCUUGCCAUCGGAUGUGCCCAGAUGGGAUUAGCUAGUAGGUGGGGUAACGGCUCACCUAGGCGACGAUCCCUAGCUGGUCUGAGAGGAUGACCAGCCACACUGGAACUGAGACACGGUCCAGACUCCUACGGGAGGCAGCAGUGGGGAAUAUUGCACAAUGGGCGCAAGCCUGAUGCAGCCAUGCCGCGUGUAUGAAGAAGGCCUUCGGGUUGUAAAGUACUUUCAGCGAGGAGGAAGGCAUUGAGGUUAAUAACCUUAGUGAUUGACGUUACUCGCAGAAGAAGCACCGGCUAACUCCGUGCCAGCAGCCGCGGUAAUACGGAGGGUGCAAGCGUUAAUCGGAAUUACUGGGCGUAAAGCGCACGCAGGCGGUCUGUCAAGUCGGAUGUGAAAUCCCCGGGCUCAACCUGGGAACUGCAUCCGAAACUGGCAGGCUAGAGUCUUGUAGAGGGGGGUAGAAUUCCA
rnacentral:rRNA from 1 species